AUUGAACGCUGGCGGCAGGCUUAACACAUGCAAGUCGAGCGGGGUGAUGGUGCUUGCACUAUCACUUAGCGGCGGACGGGUGAGUAAUGCUUAGGAAUCUGCCUAUUAGUGGGGGACAACAUUUCGAAAGGAAUGCUAAUACCGCAUACGUCCUACGGGAGAAAGCAGGGGAUCUUCGGACCUUGCGCUAAUAGAUGAGCCUAAGUCGGAUUAGCUAGUUGGUGGGGUAAAGGCCUACCAAGGCGACGAUCUGUAGCGGGUCUGAGAGGAUGAUACGCCACACUGGGACUGAGACACGGCCCAGACUCCCACGGGAGGCAGCAGUGGGGAAUAUUGGACAAUGGGCGGAAGCCUGAUCCAGCCAUGCCGCGUGUGUGAAGAAGGCCUUAUGGUUGUAAAGCACUUUAAGCGAGGAGGAGGCUACUUUAGUUAAUACCUAGAGAUAGUGGACGUUACUCGCAGAAUAAGCACCGGCUAACUCUGUGCCAGCCGCCGCGGUAAUAC
rnacentral:rRNA from 1 species